rnacentral:rRNA from 1 species
GACGAACGCUGGCGGCGUGCUUAACACAUGCAAGUCGAACGGAAAGGCCCUUCGGGGUACUCGAGUGGCGAACGGGUGAGUAACACGUGGGUGAUCUGCCCUGCACUUUGGGAUAAGCCUGGGAAACUGGGUCUAAUACCGAAUAGGACCACGCGCUUCAUGGUGUGUGGUGGAAAGCUUUUGCGGGGUGGGAUGGGCCCGCGGCCUAUCAGCUUGUUGGUGGGGUAAUGGCCUACCAAGGCGACGACGGGUAGCCGGCCUGAGAGGGUGACCGGCCACACUGGGACUGAGAUACGGCCCAGACUCCUACGGGGGGCAGCAGUGGGGAAUAUUGCACAAUGGGCGCAAGCCUGAUGCAGCGACGCCGCGUGAGGGAUGACGGCCUUCGGGUUGUAAACCUCUUUCACCAGGGACGAAGCGUAAGUGACGGUACCUGGAGAAGAAGCACCGGCCAACUACGUG